UUUUUCUUCCUGGUUAGCCUUAUACAUAGUUGCUUCUCAUCUACUUCUAUAGAUGUAGGGUCCCACCCAAAGCAGCAAAUAUAAAUGGCUUCCAUAACUUUUUAAGAUUGAGCUUCCAUCAAGCGUCCAUGAGCAAAAUUAGUUAGAAUUAAAGAAAACUUACCACCAGAACCAUUACCACCUGAGAACAUUAUUUCUAUCAGAACUAUACAGAAUUUCCAGUUUAUCUUAUCACUGCCCUUGUUUCCAAACAUACUCCAUCAGAAACUCUACAUCAUAUCCUUUAGCAAACUAUUUAUCUUAUGAUAGUUUUUCUCGAUCUUAUAUUGCUGCAACUAUAUAUUAUCAAACCUAAACCCACAACUUACAAUUAAUUAGCCGUCAAAUAAGAGACCAUUGGUG
rnacentral:lncRNA from 1 species